rnacentral:lncRNA from 1 species
GGUCGGCCUCUCGUCGUAUAAGAGAGCAUCGAUCAACCCUUGUUAGAUGAGCAUGUCUUUCACCUUUGUCUGCCAUAAGAAAAAAUUAUUCUUUUCAUCAAACCUAUUGAUCUCCACCUUGAUUGUGCUUGUCUUCUCCAUUUUCUAUCUCAUUCACCACCACUACAACCUAUGCUCUGGCACCACCUUGCUCUGAUACCAAUUGUAGCAUCCAUCA